AGAUACCAGGGUCAUAAAGACAUAAACCACGUUGUGCUUGCACAUAAGUGGUUUUAUGCUUUCAUGACCCGCCCCAAUAUGAGAAUGGAAGCAGGGCAAAGCCCUGCGAUAUUCGAAUUGGGGCAGAAUUGUGCAAGUGCGCAGCACGAAACAAUUCGUCCGGUAUCU
rfam:Firmicutes bacterium CAG:646 genomic scaffold, scf198